AUGCCUGGUAGCAUCUAUACUAAAAAUUGGAACAAUAUGGAGAAGAUUAGCAUGGUCCUUCCCUGUGCAGGAAGGACACGCAAAUUCAGGAAGCAUUCCUUAUUUUU